AGAGCGAACGCUGGCGGCGUGCUUAACACAUGCAAGUCGAGUGCGCGCCUGUAGCAAUACAGGUGGCGCACGGCGCACGGGUGCGUAACACGUGGGUAAUCUGCCCUUCGAUGGGGAAUAACUCCGGGAAACCGAAGCUAAUUCCGCAUAACGUUCCUUGAACUUCGGUUUGGGGACUCAAAGCCGUAAGGCGUCGGAGGAGGAACCCGCGCACGAUUAGCUAGUUGGUAGGGUAACGGCCUACCAAGGCUUUGAUCGUUAGC
rnacentral:rRNA from 1 species